CUAUAAUGCAGUCGAGCGAUCUUGAGUUGCUUUGCACCCUCUUGGUUAGCGGCGGACGGGUGAGUAACACGUGGGCAACCUGCCUGUAAGACUGGGAUAACUUCGGGAAACCGGAGCUAAUACCGGAUAAUCCUUUUCCUCUCAUGAGGAAAAGCUGAAAGUCGGUUUACGCUGACACUUACAGAUGGGCCCGCGGCGCAUUAGCUAGUUGGUGAGGUAACGGCUCACCAAGGCGACGAUGCGUAGCCGACCUGAGAGGGUGAUCGGCCACACUGGGACUGAGACACGGCCCAGACUCCUACGGGAGGCAGCAGUAGGGAAUCUUCCGCAAUGGACGAAAGUCUGACGGAGCAACGCCGCGUGAGCGAUGAAGGCCUUCGGGUCGUAAAGCUCUGUUGUUAGGGAAGAACAAGUACCGGAGUAACUGCCGGUACCUUGACGGUACCUAACCAGAAAGCCACGGCUAACUACGUGCCAGCAGCCGCGGUAAUACGUAGGUGGCAAGCGUUGUCCGGAAUUAUUGGGCGUAAAGCGCGCGCAGGCGGUCCUUUAAGUCUGAUGUGAAAGCCCACGGCUCAACCGUGGAGGGUCAUUGGAAACUGGGGGACUUGAGUACAGAAGAGGAAAGCGGAAUUCCACGUGUAGCGGUGAAAUGCGUAGAGAUGUGGAGGAACACCAGUGGCGAAGGCGGCUUUCUGGUCUGUAACUGACGCUGAGGCGCGAAAGCGUGGGGAGCAAACAGGAUUAGAUACCCUGGUAGUCCACGCCGUAAACGAUGAGUGCUAAGUGUUAGAGGGUUUCCGCCCUUUAGUGCUGCAGCUAACGCAUUAAGCACUCCGCCUGGGGAGUACGGCCGCAAGGCUGAAACUCAAAGGAAUUGACGGGGGCCCGCACAAGCGGUGGAGCAUGUGGUUUAAUUCAAAGCAACGCGAAGAACCUUACCAGGUCUUGACAUCCUCUGACACUCCUAAAGAUAGGACGUUCCCCUUCGGGGAACAAAUGACAGGUGGUGCAUGGUUGUCCUCAGCUCCGGCCGGGAAAGGUGGGUUAAUUCCCCAACGAGGCCAACCCUUUGUCUUAGUGGCACAAUUCAG
rnacentral:rRNA from 1 species